rnacentral:rRNA from 1 species
UAGAGUUUGAUCAUGGCUCAGGAUGAACGCUAGCGGCAGGCUUAACACAUGCAAGUCGAAGGGCAUCGCGGGGAGUGCUUGCACUCCCUGGCGGCGACUGGCGCACGGGUGAGUAACACGUAUGCAACCUGCCCUCCACAGGGGGACAACCUUCCGAAAGGGAGGCUAAUCCCGCGUAAAUCUCGAUGGGGCAUCCCAUUGAGAGGAAAGCUUCGGCGGUGGAGGAUGGGCAUGCGGCGCAUUAGCUAGUCGGCGGGGUAACGGCCCACCGAGGCGACGAUGCGUAGGGGUUCUGAGAGGAAGGUCCCCCACACUGGUACUGAGACACGGACCAGACUCCUACGGGAGGCAGCAGUGAGGAAUAUUGGUCAAUGGGCGGGAGCCUGAACCAGCCAAGCCGCGUGAGGGAAUAAGGCCCUAUGGGUCGUAAACCUCUUUUGUCGGGGAACAAAAGCGGGGACGCGUCCCCGUCUGCGUGUACCCGAAGAAAAAGCAUCGGCUAACUCCGUGCCAGCAGCCGCGGUAAUACGGAGGAUGCGAGCGUUAUCCGGAUUUAUUGGGUUUAAAGGGUGCGUAGGCGGGAUGCCAAGUCAGCGGUAAAAAAGCGGUGCUCAACGCCGUCGAGCCGUUGAAACUGGCGUUCUUGAGUGGGCGAGAAGUAUGCGGAAUGCGUGGUGUAGCGGUGAAAUGCAUAGAUAUCACGCAGAACUCCGAUUGCGAAGGCAGCAUACCGGCGCCCUACUGACGCUGAGGCACGAAAGCGUGGGUAUCGAACAGGAUUAGAUACCCUGGUAGUCCACGCAGUAAACGAUGAAUGCUAACCGUCCGGUGCGAGUGAGCGCUGGGCGGUACAGCGAAAGCGUUAAGCAUUCCACCUGGGGAGUACGCCGGCAACGGUGAAACUCAAAGGAAUUGACGGGGGCCCGCACAAGCGGAGGAACAUGUGGUUUAAUUCGAUGAUACGCGAGGAACCUUACCCGGGCUCAAACGCAGGCUGACGGGUCCCGAAAGGGGCCUUUCUUCGGACAUUCUGCGAGGUGCUGCAUGGUUGUCGUCAGCUCGUGCCGUGAGGUGUCGGCUUAAGUGCCAUAACGAGCGCAACCCCUGUCCACAGUUGCCAGCAGGUAAAGCUGGGGACUCUGUGGAGACUGCCGGCGCAAGCUGCGAGGAAGGCGGGGAUGACGUCAAAUCAGCACGGCCCUUACGUCCGGGGCGACACACGUGUUACAAUGGCAGGUACAGCGGGGUGCCACGGGGCGACCCGGCGCUGAACCCGAAAACCUGUCUCAGUUCGGAUUGGAGUCUGCAACCCGACUCCAUGAAGCUGGAUUCGCUAGUAAUCGCGCAUCAGCCACGGCGCGGUGAAUACGUUCCCGGGCCUUGUACACACCGCCCGUCAAGCCAUGGAAGCCGGGGGUACCUGAAGUGCGUGACCGCGAGGAGCGCCCUAGGGUAAAACCGGUGACUGGGGCUAAGUCGUAACAAGGUAGCCGUA